rnacentral:misc_RNA from 1 species
UGGUUCUGGCAUCGAUGAAGAACGCAGCGAAAUGCGAUAAGUAAUGUGAAUUGCAGAAUUCAGUGAAUCAUCGAAUCUUUGAACGCACAUUGCGCCCCUUGGUAUUCCGAGGGGCAUGCCUGUUCGAGCGUCAUUAUCACCACUCAAGCUCUGCUUGGUCCUGGAUCGCGCCGGUCUCGGCUGAUCCCAAAUCCAGUGGCGGCCUCUGUAGGUUCUUCGCGUAGUACAUCUCUCGCGUGGGCGCUCCAGAAUCGUCGACCAGAAGCCUUUUCUUAGGUUGACCUCGAAUCAGGUAGGAAUACCCGCUGA